CCAACCCCCGCUCCAGGCCUGUCCGGAGGCGCGCCUGGCCGAGAGCCAGCGGCAGGUCCCCGGGCUGCGCCUUAUCUCUCUCCUUUGAACCCAGCACCUUCGGCGCUCAGUCUGGCUUCUGGUUCCGUUCCGCUCGCCGCACGUCCGCGCGAUCCCCUCCUGCCGGGUCCCCUCUUCUGGCCCCGCCCAGACCCGCGCAUCUGCACCCACACCGCGUGUGCCCUGAUCGCGGGAGCACACGGGCCGGCCGGGCAUCGAUUGCUGGGGAGGCCCGGACUGUCUCGGGCCUCAGAAGCCACCUCGGGUUCCCCACUUGUCCCAGAUUGAAGACCGAGCCGCCCCAGUUCGGAGGCGUGGGGCGGAAGCGCGCGCAGAAGCCCACUAGCUGCCCAGUUGGGAGGUUGGGCGUAGCGGAGGGCAGGCGGGCGGGUGGGGUGCGGGGGGUCAGGAGGCAGAGCAGGGGAGACAGGCCCGCGUGGGUGGUGGGGCAGCCCCCAGCCCUCUCUUGCCGGAUGGAAGCGAAAGUGACCCGGGGUCAGCAGUGCGCGGGAGCAGGGAGCCCCGGCAAGCCUUGAACGGAAGACGAUCCUGGAUGGGGCGCAGAUGUGCGCGUCCUUCUCCCUCAAACCCUCCCUCCCUCCCUCCCCCUGUGCUCCCAAAAGCUCCUUUGUGCAUGGGGGAGAGGAAGGGCCGUAAAGCCACUUUCCCAGUUGCAGGGCCCAGGAGCUGCGGUUUUAUCGCCUUGCACGGGGGGGGGGGGGGGCGCUCAGAACGUGACAGUCGUCUGUAUUAAUAGUAACUGGAGACAUUGUGGAAGGGGGGAGUCCAGGCCCCAGGGGAGAAGCAGCAGAUCCCUGGAGAAGUAGAGGGGGAGGCCCCUGAAAGAGGAUUUGGGUGGGCCAGGGUCAGGGACAGAUUUCUUGGCUACCCUAUGCCCUCCUUUCUCCUGCCCCCACCCCAUGUGUGAGCAGGGAGUAUUCAGGACAGGCUUCCUGGAGGAGGUGACAUCUGAACCCUGAGAGGUGAAUGGAUGGUGGCCUUAAGUGGAGUUAGAGUCCAGAGGGCAGACCCAGGUGGAGGAUGCUGUACUAUCUGAAGAUGAAGAAAGGGGCCAUGAGCCAAGGAACGCAGAUGCUUCUAGAAGCCGGAAACACCUUCUCCCCAGGAGCUUCCAGAAGGAAAAUGUGGCCCUGUGGACACCUGGAUUUCAGCCCAGUCAGACCCGUUUUGGACUUCUGACCUCCAGAACUGUCAGAUAACUGUGUUCUUUUAAGCCACCAAGUGAGUGCUGACUUGUUACGGCAGCGAUAGGAGACUCAGACCCCCAACCUCCCGCCCAGAGUCCUGCUUGUGCUCUCAGAACCAACCCCCCCCCCACACACACACACACCUGGACUCAGUUUCCAAAUCAGCAGCCUGGGGCCCCAUCCAGGUCAGACCCACAAGCCCUGCAGCAUGCACCCCAUCACCCACCCCUCCAGACCUCUGGGCCCCUCUGGGGGUCUCCGGGGCUGCUGCUCCCUUGUUCCAGCAGGGUGGGGACUGAAGUCCCACAAGUCUGUCUGUCACUGCCUCUCUGUGCCCUGCAGUGCCCAACUCACGCCAGGCCUGCUGUCCCAGGCCUCUCUGUGUCUGGCUGUCCUCCCUGGCCUAGCCUUUGCCAAACAAGACCUCUGUCCUCAGUGGGGGGCUCCUCUCCCCAAAGGCAGGAGCCCCCAGUUCAGACAGUCCUGGGCUCAUGUUUGUGCUGUGUGAACUCGGGUGUGUGACACAGCCUCUCUGAGCCCCAAGGUGUCCUCAUCUGUGGAAUGGAAGAGAACCAGGCCAUCUGGGGGACAGAUAGGUGGAGGGACCCCUGCCUCCAUGCUGUUUCAUCCAAGUGGUCUGAGUCAGGGCUGGGGAGGGCUGGGACGGGUCGGAUGGGGUAGGUGGAGAAGCCUUUAUGCUGUCUGUUCCUCCUGCCUGGAACGCUUUUCCUUCUUCUUGCCAGUCCGCGUGGCCCCCUCCCGCCAUCCCUUGGGACUUUAGUCAGGGGUUCACGCUGUCCACCCAUCCUGCCACCCCCCUGC